UACGUAUGUCGCGAGCGUUAUCCGGAAUUAUUGGGCUUAAAGGGCAUCUAGGCGGCAUAACAAGUUGAAGGUGAAAAACUUAGGCUCAACCAAAGUCUUGCCUACAAAACUGUAAUGCUAGAGUACUGGAAAGGUGGGUGGAACUACACGAGUAGAGGUGAAAUUCGUAGAUAUGUGUAGGAAUGCCGAUGAUGAAGAUAACUCACUGGACAGCUACUGACGCUGAAGUGCGAAAGCUAGGGGAGCAAACAGG
rnacentral:rRNA from 1 species